GUUUGAUCCUGGCUACAGAACGAACGCUGGCGGCAUGCCUAACACAUGCAAGUCGAACGAGACCUUCGGGUCUAGUGGCGCACGGGUGCGUAACGCGUGGGAAUCUGCCCUUGGGUUCGGAAUAACUUCGGGAAACUGAAGCUAAUACCGGAUGAUGACGUAAGUCCAAAGAUUUAUCGCCCAAGGAUGAGCCCGCGUAGGAUUAGCUAGUUGGUGAGGUAAAGGCUCACCAAGGCGACGAUCCUUAGCUGGUCUGAGAGGAUGAUCAGCCACACUGGGACUGAGACACGGCCCAGACUCCUACGGGAGGCAGCAGUGGGGAAUAUUGGACAAUGGGCGAAAGCCUGAUCCAGCAAUGCCGCGUGAGUGAUGAAGGCCUUAGGGUUGUAAAGCUCUUUUACCCGGGAUGAUAAUGACAGUACCGGGAGAAUAAGCUCCGGCUAACUCCGUG
rnacentral:rRNA from 1 species